rnacentral:rRNA from 1 species
CAACAGGGCAUUGCCUCAGUAACGGCGAGUGAAGCGGCAAAAGCUCAAAUUUGAAAUCUGGCACCUUCGGUGUCCGAGUUGUAAUUUGAAGAAGGUAACUUUGGAGUUGGCUCUUGUCUAUGUUCCUUGGAACAGGACGUCACAGAGGGUGAGAAUCCCGUGCGAUGAGAUGCCCAACUCUAUGUAAAGUGCUUUCGAAGAGUCGAGUUGUUUGGGAAUGCAGCUCUAAGUGGGUGGUAAAUUCCAUCUAAAGCUAAAUAUUGGCGAGAGACCGAUAGCGAACAAGUACAGUGAUGGAAAGAUGAAAAGAACUUUGAAAAGAGAGUGAAAAAGUACGUGAAAUUGUUGAAAGGGAAGGGCUUGAGAUCAGACUUGGUAUUUUGCAAGCCUUACCUUCGUGGUGGGGUCCCCUGCAGUUUACUGGGCCAGCAUCGGUUUGGAUGG